GAUGAACGCUGACAGAAUGCUUAACACAUGCAAGUCAUUGGCGAAGCUGCGCUUGCGCAGUCUAGCCAAGGCGGACGGGUGAGUAACGCGUAAGGAACUUGCCCUGCAGACAGGGAUAACAGACGGAAACGACUGAUAACACCUGGUAUUGUCAGGCUGGCGCAUGCCGGCCUGAUGAAAGGAGGCGCUGCAGGAGAGCCUUGCGUCCUAUUAGCUAGUUGGUGGGGUAACGGCCCACCAAGGCGAUGAUAGGUAGCCGGCCUGAGAGGGUGAACGGCCACAAGGGGACUGAGAUACGGCCCUUACUCCUACGGGAGGCAGCAGUGGGGAAUAUUGGACAAUGGGGGCAACCCUGAUCCAGCAAUUCUGUGUGCACGAAGAAGGUUUUCGGAGUGUAAAGUGCUUUCAGCAGGGAAGAAGAAAGUGACGGUACCUGCAGAAGAAGCGACGGCUAAAUACGUG
rnacentral:rRNA from 1 species